GCCGGCGAGUCCUCAACUGACGCUAAUGCUCGAAAGUGCGGGUAUCGAACAGGAUUAGAUACCCUGGUAGUCCGCACGGUAAACGAUGGAUGCCCGCUGUUGGCGACACACUGUCAGCGGCCAAGCGAAAGCGUUAAGCAUCCCACCUGGGGAGUACGCCGGCAACGGUGAAACUCAAAGGAAUUGACGGGGGCCCGCACAAGCGGAGGAACAUGUGGUUUAAUUCGAUGAUACGCGAGGAACCUUACCCGGGCUUGAACUGCAGCAGAACGAUAGAGAGAUCUUGAGGCCCUUCGGGGCUGCUGUGGAGGUGCUGCAUGGUUGUCGUCAGCUCGUGCCGUGAGGUGUCGGCUUAAGUGCCAUAACGAGCGCAACCCCUUCCGUCAGUUGCCAUCACUUUGGGUGGGCACUCUGGCGGUACUGCCACCGUAAGGUGUGAGGAAGGUGGGGAUGACGUCAAAUCAGCACGGCCCUUACGUCCGGGGCUACACACGUGUUACAAUGGGUGGUACAGAGAGUCAACCGCCGGCAACGUCGGUUUAAUCAAUAAAGCCAUCCUCAGUUCGGAUUGGGGUCUGCAACCCGACCCCGUGAAGCUGG
rnacentral:rRNA from 1 species